AUGCCUGAUUUUCGUCAAUAUGAUUGUGUGUGUGACAAGGAAAGUAAUGCUCGUGCACAGGACGACACGAGGGCAAGAGCAGAGCUGCACGGAGCUGCCUGCGGGAGGGUAACGGCCUGCAUUAAAUGCUGCGUGUCAAGAUGCAAAGACAAACAGCUGGCAGGAGGGAAGAAAGCUGUAAUUGCAGCCAGCAGGCAACUCCCAGGUCAUCACCUACUACUGAGGCCCUUGGGACGGACAGCUGGAACAAGAGCGUUUUCCCUGGUUCACUGUCAGCUAUAUUUCUAUGAUGUUUCCAGAAAUAAAUGA
rnacentral:lncRNA from 1 species